GUGUCUUCUAUCCAACCACAUGGAGAUCUUCCUCUGCUCAUCAUGACCAAAGUCAACAAGGAUCCACCGUCUCGGGAGGGGACUCUUCUGUACUCCCAGUCUAACGUGCAGAAGGUUUGUGAGAAGAUGAAAAUAGCUUUAUGAGGAUCACUUGGAAAUUCUUUGUCAUGACUCUGCUUUGUGUCAUAUUUGUUGUAUCUCUGUGCAUGUGGGAAGAGUUCUGGAUGAAACACCAGGUAUUUACACAGUAUCACAGUAGUGGAUUGCUGAACAGGUGCUUUUACAGGGUUGAGGAGGCCAAGCAGUUCUCUGCACGGAGCACUUGGAUCUGCCCCCAACCUGCAGGGCUGGCUCACCCUCCUUUACAAAUGAAACGCCAUGGUUUGCACUUGGCUCUACGUUCUGAACAGGUGCCGUUGGUUUUUGUUCCAUACAACAUUGACAAAGUGACAGUGGUCUUUUUUUGGGUGAUAUAUCUGCAUAGCCUUUGCAUGUUUCAGAAUAUUUGUGCCCUUGUCUUGACUAUUAAUUUCAUAUAUUUAAUUCUCAGAACAUAUUUUCUCUUACAAUAUUGCAAAAUGUAUUUAAUGUUCUUCUGCUAUUGA
rnacentral:lncRNA from 1 species